UACAGAGGAGCCAAGCGUUGUCCGGAUUGACUGGGCGUAAAGCGCACGCAGGCGGAUGCGCGCGUGGGGUGUGAAAUCUGGCCGCUUAACGGCCAGGCGCCAUCCCAUACGGCGCGUCUGGAGUGAUGCAGAGGUCGGUGGAAUUGCCGGUGUAGUGGUGAAAUGCGUAGAUAUCGGGAGGAACACCAGUGGCGAAGGCGGCUUCCUGGCCUGUUCUUGACGCUGAGGCGCGAAAGCUAGGGGAGCAAACGGG
rnacentral:rRNA from 1 species